UACGGAGGGUGCAAGCGUUAUCCGGAUUCACUGGGUUUAAAGGGUGCGUAGGCGGGCAAUUAAGUCAGUGGUGAAAUCUUCGAGCUUAACUCGGAAACUGCCAUUGAUACUAUUUGUCUUGAAUACUGUGGAGGUGAGCGGAAUAUGUCAUGUAGCGGUGAAAUGCUUAGAUAUGACAUAGAACACCAAUUGCGUAGGCAGCUCGCUACACAAAUAUUGACGCUGAGGCACGAAAGCGUGGGGAUCAAACAGG
rnacentral:rRNA from 1 species